GACAGAGGCCUCAAGCGUUAGGCGGAAUCACUGGGCUUAAAGCGUGUGUAGGCGGAUCGUUAAGUGUCUUGUGAAAUCCCACGGCUCACCCGUGGAACUGCUGGGCAUACUGGCGAUCUUGGGCCAACUAGGGGCAACUGGAACAAGCGGUGGAGCGGUGAAAUGCGUAGAUAUCGGGAGGAACACCUGUGGCGAAAGCGGCUCACUGGACCACAACUGACGCUGAGGCGCGAAAGCUAGGGGAGCAAACAGG
rnacentral:rRNA from 1 species